rnacentral:sRNA from 1 species
GCAUCGGUUGUUCAGUGGUAGAAUGCUCGCCU